GAAUUGAUUCUGCGUCGGGAAUGC
rnacentral:siRNA from 1 species